UCCGAACUGAGACCGGCUUUUUGGGAUUCGCUCCACCUUACGGUAUCGCAGCCCUCUGUACCGGCCAUUGUAGCAUGCGUGAAGCCCAAGACAUAAGGGGCAUGAUGAUUUGACGUCAUCCCCACCUUCCUCCGAGUUGACCCCGGCAGUCUCCCAUGAGUCCCCGGCAUAACCCGCUGGCAACAUAGGACGAGGGUUGCGCUCGUUGCGGGACUUAACCCAACAUCUCACGACACGAGCUGACGACAACCAUGCACCACCUGUGUACGAGUGUCCAAAGAGAACCCCGUCUCGGGGGCUUUCUCGUACAUGUCAAGCCUUGGUAAGGUUCUUCGCGUUGCAUCGAAUUAAUCCGCAUGCUCCGCCGCUUGUGCGGGCCCCCGUCAAUUCCUUUGAGUUUUAGCCUUGCGGCCGUACUCCCCAGGCGGGGCACUUAAUGCGUUAGCUGCGGCACGGAACUCGUGGAAUGAGCCCCACACCUAGUGCCCAACGUUUACGGCAUGGACUACCAGGGUAUCUAAUCCUGUUCGCUCCCCAUGCUUUCGCUCCUCAGCGUCAGUUGCGGCCCAGAGACCUGCCUUCGCCAUCGGUGUUCCUCCUGAUAUCUGCGCAUUCCACCGCUACACCAGGAAUUCCAGUCUCCCCUACCGCACUCUAGUCUGCCCGUACCCGAUGCAAGCCCGAGGUUGAGCCUCGGGAUUUCACACCAGAUGCGACAGACCGCCUACGAGCUCUUUACGCCCAAUAAUUCCGGACAACGCUUGCGCCCUACGUAUUACCGCGGCUGCUGGCACGUAGUUAGCCGGCGCUUCUUCUGCAGGUACCGUCACUUGCGCUUCUUCCCUGCUGAAAGAGGUUUACAACCCGAAGGCCGUCAUCCCUCACGCGGCGUCGCUGCAUCAGGCUUGCGCCCAUUGUGAAUAUUCCCCACUGCUGCCUCCCGUAGGAGUCUGGGCCGUGUCUCAGUCCCAGUGUGGCCGGUCGCCCUCUCAGGCCGGCUACCCGUCGACGCCUUGGUAGGCCAUCACCCCACCAACAAGCUGAUAGGCCGCGAGCCCAUCCCCCACCGAAAAACUUUCCAACCCACACCAUGCGAUGCGAGCUCAUAUCCGGUAUUAGACCCCGUUUCCAAGGCUUAUCCCGAAGUGGAGGGCAGGUUGCUCACGUGUUACUCACCCGUUCGCCACUGAUCCACCCAGCAAGCUGGGCUUCACCG
rnacentral:rRNA from 1 species